AGCGAACAUUGGCGGUAGGCUUAACACAUGCAAGUCGAGCGAGGCUUCGAGCCGAGCGGCGAACGGGUGAGUAAUACUUGGGAAUCUACCCUGAAGUAGGGGAUAACGUCCAGAAAUGGACGCUAAUACCGCAUAAUCCACAUUGGGAAAGCGCGCUGCGCUUUAGGAUGAGCCCAAGCCUGAUUAGCUAGUUGGUGGGGUAAAGGCCCACCAAGGCGACGAUCAGUAGCUGGUCUGAGAGGAUGAUCAGCCACACUGGAACUGAGACACGGUCCAGACUCCUACGGGAGGCAGCAGUGGGGAAUCUUGCGCAAUGGGGGCAACCCUGACGCAGCCAUACCGCGUGUGCGAUGAAGGUCUUCGGAUUGUAAAGCACUUUCGGCGGGGACGACAAUGACGGUACCCGCAUAAGAAGUCACGGCUAACUUCGUGCCAGCCGCCGCGGUAA
rnacentral:rRNA from 1 species